AAGUUUUGGAUGCUUCCUGGUACAUGCCUGACGAGCAGCAAAAUCCACUUCAAGAAUAUCAGGUUCAAGUCUUCAACAAAUAGAGGGCCUGGUUCUGCAACACUCUACGGCUCCAAGCAGUAUAAUCUCAAUGCUGUGCGACUUACCGAAUCAGCUAUGCUUCUCAGCCCAUUGCAGGGAAACUUCCCAGGGAGGAAUUUGGGCUCAUUGCAAGAAAAGAAAAGGGCCUGCAUCACACAUAGUGGACACGUGAUCGUGGCCAGUGAGGUUGGUGUUGUAGACAUCUGCCAGAAGAUGUGGCUAGGAAAGGAAGACAUGAUCGGUCCAUAAGGGGACCUUACUGAAACAGUUCACGUGGAAGGCUAGGAAAGGAAGACAUUUAUAGUUUAAAUAGACCAUUAAUUGUUUUGUUGAUAUUGUGCUAAUUGUUGUCUUGAUGAAUGUUAAAUGGGUGAAAUAUGCACAGGCUCAAUCA